AUUCAGCUGAAUGAGGAAGCUCAGUGAUUUAGAAAGAACCUGUAGUCUGUAAGCACAACUGUGUCCAGGCAUAAGACUUGACACCCUUCAGAGGUGGAGAGAAGAUAUCCCAGCAAUUGGACAAGGGCCAUGCAGAGGAACCUGGGAGCUGUGCUGGGGAUUCUGUGGGUGCAGAUUUGCUGGGUGAAAGGAAAUCAGGUGGAGCAAAGUCCUUCAGCCCUGAGUCUCCAAGAGGGAACCAGUUCUGCUCUGAGAUGCAAUCUUUCUAUUGGCAUGACAACUGUGCAGUGUUUCCUACAGAAUCCCAGGGGCAGGCUCAUCAAUCUUUUUUACCUGGCUUCAGGAACGAAGGAAAUUGGGAGGCUAAAGGCAACAUUCAAUCCUAAGGAGCGCUACAGCACCCUGCACAUCAGGGAUGCCCAGCCAGAGGACUCAGGCACCUACCUCUGUGCUGCUCAGGCACAGUGCUCCCAGCCAGCUUACAGCCUGGCUCCAAACUGCAGCUGGGUGUGCAGCUACAGUCCCCGCCACAGGCAGACUCUGCAGGAGGCUUUGCACAGCUGUGGCCUUAUCAGAUCUCUACUAAAUACAGAGAAGAUGUUAGGAGACAUAACGUUGCUGCAGAAGUUCAGCCCACAACACUAA